UACGAAGGGGGCUAGCGUUGCUCGGAAUCACUGGGCGUAAAGCGCACGUAGGCGGCUUCUUAAGUCUGUUGUGAAAGCCCUGGGCUCAACCUGGGAACUGCAGUGGAUACUGGCGAGCUAGAGUACGGUAGAGGAAGGUGGAAUUCCCGGUGUAGCGGUGAAAUGCGUAGAGAUCGGGAGGAACACCGGUGGCGAAGGCGGGUCUCUGGGCAAUUCCUGACGUUGAGGCGCGAAAGCGUGGGGAGCAAACAGG
rnacentral:rRNA from 1 species